UAGGGAAUCUUCCGCAAUGGACGCAAGUCUGACGGAGCAACGCCGCGUGAGUGAAGAAGGAUUUCGGUUCGUAAAACUCUGUUGUUAGAGAAGAACAGCGCAUAGAGUAACUGUUAUGCGUGUGACGGUAUCUAACCAGAAAGCCACGGCUAACUACGUGCCAGCAGCCGCGGUAAUACGUAGGUGGCAAGCGUUGUCCGGAUUUAUUGGGCGUAAAGCGAGCGCAGGCGGUCAAUUAAGUCUGAUGUGAAAGCCCCCGGCUCAACCGGGGAGGGUCAUUGGAAACUGGUUGACUUGAGUGCAGAAGGGGAGAGGGGAAUUCCAGGUGUAGCGGUGAAAUGCGUAGAUAUAUGGAGGAACACCAGUGGCGAAGGCGACUCUCUGGUCUGUAACUGACGCUGAGGCUCGAAAGCGUGGGUAGCAAACAGG
rnacentral:rRNA from 1 species